rnacentral:lncRNA from 1 species
GUCAUAUAUCACAGAAUUUCAUAAUCUGGCUAAAAUUAGUUCAAGUUGUUAUUGUAUGAAACUGAACUAUCUUAUUUUAAUACUGAAAUCUAUCUUUGUUUUUUAUUCAACGUCACACGAACAUAAAGUUCGAAACCAAGAACUUUUUCUAGAGAACCAAUAUCAUGCAUACAUGUAAGUACGAUUGACAAAAAAAUACACCGAC